GGCCGCCUGGCGAAAUGGCAUCGCGUCUGACUACGACUGCUUUCGUAAAAUCAGGAGAUUGCAGGUUCGACCCCUGCGGUGGUCA